rnacentral:rRNA from 1 species
AGUGAACGCUGGCGGUAGGCCUAACACAUGCAAGUCGAACGGCAGCACAGUAAGAGCUUGCUCUUACGGGUGGCGAGUGGCGGACGGGUGAGGAAUACAUCGGAAUCUACUUUUUCGUGGGGGAUAACGUAGGGAAACUUACGCUAAUACCGCAUACGACCUACGGGUGAAAGCAGGGGAUCUUCGGACCUUGCGCGAUUGAAUGAGCCGAUGUCGGAUUAGCUAGUUGGCGGGGUAAAGGCCCACCAAGGCGACGAUCCGUAGCUGGUCUGAGAGGAUGAUCAGCCAGCUUGGAACUGAGACACGGUCCAGACUCCUACGGGAGGCAGCAGUGGGGAAUAUUGGACAAUGGGCGCAAGCCUGAUCCAGCCAUACCGCGUGGGUGAAGAAGGCCUUCGGGUUGUAAAGCCCUUUUGUUGGGAGAGAAAAGCAGCAGGUUAAUACCCCGCUGUUCUGACGGUACCCAAAGAAUAAGCACCGGCUAACUUCGUG